rfam:Geoalkalibacter ferrihydriticus DSM 17813 scaffold4, whole genome shotgun sequence.
UCGGACAAAGCCAAACCCGUCGCGAGGCGGGGACGGAAAGCCACGGGUCUCUUGCAGACAGCCGGGUUGCCCUUC